rnacentral:rRNA from 1 species
GCGUAACGCGUAUACAAUCUGCCUUUCACAUAGGGAUAGCCCGAAGAAAUUUGGAUUAAUACCUAAUGGUAUAUAAGAGCGGCAUCGUUUUUAUAUUAAAGCUACGGUGGUGAAAGAUGAGUAUGCGUUCUAUUAGCUAGUUGGAGAGGUAACGGCUCCCCAAGGCGACGAUAGAUAGGGGUUCUGAGAGGGAUGUCCCCCACACUGGUACUGAGAUACGGACCAGACUCCUACGGGAGGCAGCAGUGAGGAAUAUUGGACAAUGGUCGGAAGACUGAUCCAGCCAUGCCGCGUGCAGGAUGAAGGUCCUAUGGAUUGUUAACUGCUU